rnacentral:rRNA from 1 species
AAUUUCUAGGUUAAGCUAGAAAGAGCGCACGGAGGAUGCCUAGGCGCCAGGAGCCGACGAAGGACGUGGCGAACAACGAAAUGCCUCGGGGAGCCGUAAGCAGGCUACGAUCCGGGGAUGUCCGAAUGGGGGAACCCACGUGCCGUAAUAGGUACGUACACCCUGCUGAACACAUAGGCAGGGCUGAGGCAGACCAGGGGAACUGAAACAUCUAAGUACCCUGAGGAAGAGAAAACAACAGUGAUUCCGUCAGUAGCGGCGAGCGAACGCGGAUUAGCCCAAACCAGUGAGCAUGCUCACCGGGGUUGUGGGACACUCCGCAUGGAGUUACAAAGGGUUAGGCUAGGUGAAGCAGUCUGGAAAGGCUCACCAUAGGGGGUAACAGUCCUGUAGCCGAAAGUCUGACCUCUCCGGAGUGGAUCCCGAGUAGUGCGGGGCACGUGAAACCCCGUAUGAAUCCGGCAGGACCAUCUGCCAAGGCUAAAUACUCCCUGGCGACCGAUAGCGAAGCAGUACCGUGAGGGAAAGGUGAAAAGCACCCCGGGAGGGGAGUGAAAGAGAACCUGAAACCGUGCGCUUACAAGAAGUCAGAGCCCUAUGAUGUUUCAUCACGGGUGAUGGCGUGCCUUUUGUAGAAUGAACCGGCGAGUUACGUUUGGUUGCGAGGUUAAGGUGAGAAGCCGAAGCCGCAGCGAAAGCGAGUCUGAAUAGGGCGAGUAUAGUAACCAGGCGUAGACCCGAAACCGGGUGAUCUACCCCUGUCCAGGGUGAAGGUGAGGUAACACUUACUGGAGGCCCGAACCCACGUACGUUGAAAAGUGCGGGGAUGAGGUGGGGGUAGCGGAGAAAUUCCAAUCGAACUCGGAAAUAGCUGGUUCUCCCCGAAAUAGCUUUAGGGCUAGCCUCGGUUUAGAGUAGCGGAGGUAGAGCACUGAUUGGGUGCGGGGUCCGUCAAGGAUUACCAAGUCUAGUCAAACUCCGAAUGCCGCAUAUUUGAUGACCGGGAGUCAGACGGUGAGUGCUAAGAUCCAUCGUCAAGAGGGAAACAGCCCAGACCAUCCGCUAAGGUCCCGAAGUUUGUGUUAAGUGGGAAAGGAUGUGGAGUUGCACAGACAACCAGGAUGUUGGCUUAGAAGCAGCCACCAUUGAAAGAGUGCGUAAUAGCUCACUGGUCGAGUGACUCUGCGCCGAAAAUGUAACGGGGCUAAACACAGCACCGAAGCGAUGGCAUCGAAAGAUGGGUAGGGGAGCGUUCUGUACGGGUGGAAGCUUGUACCGUGAGGAGCAGUGGACUGUACAGAAGUGAGAAUGCCGGUAUAAGUAACGAAAAGACAGGUGAGAAUCCUGUCCGCCGAAAGCCUAAGGGUUCCUGAGGAAGGUUCGUCCGCUCAGGGUCAGUCGGGACCUAAGGCGAGGCCGAAAGGCGUAGUCGAAGGACAACAGGUAGACAUUCCUGUACCACCGUAGCCGUUAUGAGUGAUGGGGUGACGCAGGAGGGAAGGACCGCAGACGGAUGGAAGGGUCUGUCCAAGCAGUAAGGCGGGUGCAUAGGCAAAUCCGUGCACUGGUAACGUUGAGCUGUGAUGGGGAGGGGAACUUGAAGUACCCGAAGGGUUUGGCCUCAUACUGCCGAGAAAAGCCUCUAACCAGGCGAAGGUGCCCGUACCGCAAACCGACACAGGUAGGCGAGCAGAGCAUGCUAAGGCGCGCGGAAGAACUCUCGUUAAGGAACUCGGCAAAAUGACCCCGUAACUUCGGGAGAAGGGGUGCCUCGGUAGGGUGAAUAGCCCGAGGGGGCCGCAGUGAAAAGGCCCAAGCGACUGUUUAGCAAAAACACAGGUCUGUGCGAAGCCGCAAGGCGAAGUAUACGGGCUGACGCCUGCCCGGUGCUGGAAGGUUAAGGGGAGAGGUUAGCGUAAGCGAAGCUUUGAACCGAAGCCCCAGUAAACGGCGGCCGUAACUAUAACGGUCCUAAGGUAGCGAAAUUCCUUGUCAGGUAAAUUCUGACCCGCACGAAUGGCGUAACGACUUGGGCGCUGUCUCAACGAGAGAUCCGGUGAAAUUUUAAUACCUGUGAAGAUGCAGGUUACCCGCGACAAGACGGAAAGACCCCAUGGAGCUUUACUGCAGCUUGAUAUUGGACUGGGGUACGACCUGUACAGGAUAGGUGGGAGCCAUGGAAGCCGGUGCGCCAGCAUCGGUGGAGGCGCCGUUGGGAUACCACCCUGGUUGUAUUCGAGUUCUAACCUGGUACCGUAAGCCGGUACAGGGACCGUGUCAGGCAGGCAGUUUGACUGGGGCGGUCGCCUCCUAAAGUGUAACGGAGGCGCCCCAAGGUUCCCUCAGAAUGGUUGGAAAUCAUUCGGAGAGUGCAAAGGCAGAAGGGAGCUUGACUGCGAGACGAACAGGUCGAGCAGGGACGAAAGUCGGGCUUAGUGAUCCGGUGGUUCUGAAUGGAAGGGCCAUCGCUCAACGGAUAAAAGCUACCCUGGGGAUAACAGGCUUAUCUCCCCCAAGAGUCCACAUCGACGGGGAGGUUUGGCACCUCGAUGUCGGCUCAUCGCAUCCUGGGGCUGAAGUAGGUCCCAAGGGUUGGGCUGUUCGCCCAUUAAAGCGGUACGCGAGCUGGGUUCAGAACGUCGUGAGACAGUUCGGUCCCUAUCUGUCGCGGGCGCAGGAAAUUUGAGAGGAGCUGUCCUUAGUACGAGAGGACCGGGAUGGACGUACCGCUGGUGUACCAGUUGUCUCGCCAGAGGCAUGGCUGGGUAGCUAAGUACGGAAGGGAUAAGCGCUGAAAGCAUCUAAGCGUGAAGCCCCCCUCAAGAUGAGAUUUCCCACAUUGGUAAGACCCCUGGUAGACGACCAGGUCGAUAGGUUCGAGGUGGAAGUGCAGCAAUGCAUGCAGCUGACGAAUACUAAUCGGUCGAGGGCUUAACCAAAUUAC